rnacentral:snoRNA from 9 species
ACCCCCUUGAACAUGAUCUGUUCUUUUAGGCUCGUACCACUGUAUCAUUUACCAAUAAGGAAUCAAGUAUUUCUGUUUCUGCACAUUGGCCCAGAGCCUGAUUAACGGCCAGGAUUAUUUUGAUGGGAUCAAUACGAUGGCUGUAGAAGUUCGUUUCUGCCUCGCUCAAAUCGGUGCAGGCACCCAGUGGUUGUUUGACAGACU